UUGUUGGACGGGAGGGAGGGAGAGAGAGAGGAAAAAGGGAAAGGAGGGUGGGAAGGAAGAAAGGUAGGCCAAGAUUGUCUUUGACAGUUCAUUUCAGUGCUUCUGUGAUUUUGAGCAUUUGACAUCCUUUCCCUGUCCCCUCACUUCCCCUUCUUAAACCCUUAACUCGGGACUGUAGUAAUUUUUAAAUAGAACAUUUGUGGUGGUUGCAUGAGGUAAGCUUGUGGACAGGGUAUUAGCAAAUCUCUGCACUUAUGAACGAUCACCUCUGUGUAUGGCAUUUGAGUUCGAUGUGCAAUUCGAGGCUGGGCUGACCCCACAAGCUUGGUGAUCUCAUCACAGACCUUUUCUGGAUAAAACGCAGAGUGAUUUGAGUCUGGCGUGGGAGGGGAUAUUGGAACCAUCUUCUCACGUUUCUUUCCUUGUGAAAAUCAAACCCAGGUGCUCUUCGAGUUCUACCUGACUCAUCUUUUCUCUGUACUGCUUCCACUCGAGGGCUCUAUUCCCGAGGUUCCUCUGGGGACCGGCCUGGAGUGACACCUGCAGACCGUCUCAGGAAGCUUAGGAAGUGAAAUCUAAUUUCUUACGUCAAAAAGAAACUAAAGUGUACCUAAGAAGACAUGAAGUUGAAGAGGGAAGAUACGGUUACCGCAAUCCUAGGACCUCCAAAGAGCUUCACAUUUUCAUCAAUCAAAGUUAAGUCUCAGGAAUUGAGUGCCUUGUUAAUCAAACCAUUUUCCAAGCAACACUGACACAAUGCCAUUAACAACAGAAGCAUCCAUUACUGUUUUGCCUAUAAGGGAAUUCAUUAAUCAGAGUAGGAAAACACAUACACAGUAUUAAACCAGUUCUGGGCUGAUUGUGACAAACUGUCAAGAAAAGAUUUUAUAGAGGAACAAAAUUAUUGGUGAUCAUGCCUUCUAAGAAGAAGUGACACUUGAAUGGACCUUUAAAAAUUUCCAGAAUUUGAUUAAAAUAUUGACACAAGCCAGAGACAAAAAGUGUCCCAAAUUUCUAGAAGGAAUAAAAGAAGGUAGAUCCUGGAAGCAAGAUCAGGGAUCAUGAAUGAACUGUUGUUACUCAAUGUUGAUUUUAAGAGAUGUUAGUGGGAAUUCCAAGAAAAAAAAUGUUCCAAGGAUUAGUAAGUGUGAAAACUGAAUUAAAUAAAAUUAAACAGGUUUUUGGUGUUUU